UAGCAAAUCCAGAGGAGAAGGUUGGCACUCCCCUUGAUAAGGAUGGAAGAGGUCCCAGUGGCCUGUAUGACACAUAUAUGGUUAAAGGCACUGCCACUUACUUUGUGAUGCCUAAGCAGGUGUUGGG